GCACAUUAUUAUUGGUGCGUACGCACAAACGCAAAAAAAAAAAAUACCCCCUUGUGGUGCGAAUCCCUCAUCUUCUCUGCUCCAUCUUCUGCACCAUCAUUACCACCACAUUGCCUCACCGUCCACCCACCUUCACCACAACCGCCGGUGACCGCCGCAACCGCCGUGCCCUUUCCCCUUUCUUCUUCCUCUCUCCCUAUCUCGGCCUCACCUCAGCAAGUCCAGAACUCACCGCGUCCCUCUCCCUCUUCUCACCAUCGCCGCGACAACUACCACCGCUGGCCGCCAUCCAGUUUCCCUCUCCUCCUUCUUCUUCCUUUUUCUUCUUUCUCAGCCUCGCCGCACCACUCUUCCCUGUUUCACUGGAAUGCAAACUGGUCUCAGCUCGAACCAGAGUCCACUCUGCUCUUCCUCCUCUUCGCGCUACCUUCCCUUUUGGCUUCAACAUCACAUUGCAACCUUCCCUUCCUCAUCGAUCCUGUCUCAAUCUCCAGUCUCAACCACCUCGUCCAGCCCCCCUCCCUCUACCUUUUCCGUCGCCGUCAGGUCCAGAGACCACAGGGUCCUCUUCUUCGCGACCUCCUUCUGACACAGCCCUUGUCUCUCUCGUUCUUUUUGGGUUGAAGAACAGAGCAAGUUUAAGCUCCUGUUCUCUUCGUCUGAGGUGAGUUCCAGCUGUUGCGACACCACCCCUGUUGCUCUUCACUGCCUUCGAAGGCCAGAAUAAGGCAAGGCCCAUGUUUCUUUGCUGCGCCCCUCCUCUGCUGCUGCCAUUGGAUCAGCUCCACUACCAGGCCAACUGAGUUGCUCCAGCCGUUCACUCACCAUCAUCAACCUUCUUCUUCCCUUCCCUUCCUCUGUUCUAAUUUUGCUUCCCAGCACCACCAUCACUCUUGCAGCCACUUUUGUAUGGUGAUACAGUGACGACUCCUUCCACUCCGCAUGAUCGUGAGCACCGAGGACGGUGCUACAUUUUAAGUGUGGGGAGGUUAGCAACGCUUUUUGGGUGACAAUCUUCAUUUCUGAACAUUUUUAGUGUGGUUUCUUUCUAUGUUUUUUUGGUAUUUUCUAGCUGAAAUCGAGGGACUUCAGCAAAAAUCAGAUUCAGAGGUUGAAGAAGG